AACGAACGCUGGCGGCAGGCCUAACACAUGCAAGUCGAGCGAGGACUUCGGUUCUAGCGGCGGACGGGUGAGUAACGCGUGGGAAUGUGCCCUUCUCUACGGAAUAGCCCUGGGAAACUGGGAGUAAUACCGUAUACGCCCUAUUGGGGAAAGAUUUAUCGGAGAAGGAUCAGCCCGCGUUGGAUUAGGUAGUUGGUGGGGUAAUGGCCUACCAAGCCGACGAUCCAUAGCUGGUUUGAGAGGAUGAUCAGCCACACUGGGACUGAGACACGGCCCAGACUCCUACGGGAAGCAGCAGUGGGGAAUCUUAGCCAAUGGGGGCAACCCUGAUCUAGCCAUGCCGCGUGAGUGAUGAAGGCCUUAGGGUUGUAAAGCUCUUUCAGCUGGGAAGAUAAUGACGGUACCAGCAGAAGAAGCCCCGGCUAACUCCGUG
rnacentral:rRNA from 1 species